rnacentral:RNase_P_RNA from 1 species
GGCAGCGGGUAUUCUGCUGUAAAAUGCAGAAAGCUCAGGAAAGUCCGCCCACAAUCAAAAGGCCACUCAUGGAAGUGAGCUCUUUAAUCAGAGGGCAACAGCACAGAAACGCACCAGAUAUCAAAUGGGAUGAUAGGAUAUAUCUUAAGGCGACUCGGGAUUGAUUCCUUGACGUCUUGAUGUUUAGGAUGAAACGGCUAGUCCUGGCUUGUGCAACUCUUUAAGAGGCUAAGUCAAAUGCCAAGAAAGUCUUUUCAGCAAUGAAGACUUACAGAAGGCGGCUUACAGCUGCC